AGAGAGGAGAUACGAAACGAAACAGCCUGGAGAAGAUGGACCCUAUCCCUCUGCCGUACAUCACGGGGGCUCCGUAAAACCCCGGAAGGGAUCCGCCCACCUGCCCUUCAUAAUAGGGCUUUGGAGUUGACGUCACGCCGCGGAGCGCGGCGCCAUUUUCGGGGUCUACGAAUCAAAAGAGACACAGUGUUGGAACGACAACGACAAGAAUCACGCUUAAAAGCAGCUCCAAAGAAAACGGACGGUAUAGAGACCGAUUGCGUCCAGAGGCGAAGCAGCGGUACUUGCAGAAAAUUGCGUGCAUUGGAAAUGUGGACCCGUAUGAAACACUGCCGUGGAGUAGAAACCCUGAAGAGCAACCGCUAUAGCCUGACAUAUUUUCGUACUUUAUCUGUGGAGUCAGCGCGUACAAGUUGUCAUUCAAACAAAGGUGCUGCACUCUCAAAGACUGAAUGAACAGCAUUGCAGCCAUGGGUCACUGUGAGCAUCACAGGGAAGGUUG
rnacentral:lncRNA from 1 species